AACAGACCCUACUAUUGGAUUCAGAACACUGUAAAAACCAUAAAAAACGACUAUUCAUACGAUCCAAAACUCAUCCGAUUGAUCAAUAUUUGACUAGGAUACACAAUGAUGUUUAUGGGCGCGCCCACACUGGAUUAUUUCCAGUUCUGGGCAGCCAUGGGAGCAAUCAAGAGCUGCGAAUGCUCUGUUCUUCUUUUUCUUUUCAUUAACUGCGUGUGUACAUAUCUAUAUAUCUAUAUUUCCUUAAUAUCAAACUACUUAAUUUUUUUCUUCAAAAUCAUUUAUAUAUAUGGAAUUAACUCCUCUUCUCUUUCUUUCC
rnacentral:lncRNA from 1 species